GCCCUUGUGGAUUAAGGAUAUCGCCUCUCUGUUACGACGAAAAUAAGGGAUGCAGGUUCGAGUCCUGCCGAGGGCA